rnacentral:rRNA from 1 species
GAGUUUGAUCCUGGCUCAGAAUCAACGCUGGCGGCGUGCCUAACACAUGCAAGUCGAGCGAGAAAAGGGGGGCAACUCCCUGAGUACAGCGGCGCACGGGUGAGUAACACGUGGGUAAUCUGCCCUGGAGUGGGGAAUAACACCGGGAAACCGGUGCUAAUACCGCAUACGAUAGCGGGAUCUGCGGAUUUCGUUAUGAAAGGAGCAAUUCGCUCUAGGAGGAGCCCGCGGCUGAUUAGCUAGUUGGUGAGGUAAUGGCUCACCAAGGCUACGAUCAGUAUCCGGUCUGAGAGGACGGUCGGACACACUGGAACUGAGACACGGUCCAGACUCCUACGGGAGGCAGCAGUGGGGAAUUUUUGGCAAUGGGGGCAACCCUGACCAAGCAACGCCGCGUGGGUGAUGAAGUCUCUUGGGACGUAAAACCCUUUCGACGGGGAAGAAACCGCAAGGUUGACGGUACCCGUAGAAGAAGCCCCGGCUAACUCCGUGCCAGCAGCCGCGGUAAUACGGGGGGGGCAAGCGUUGUUCGGAAUUACUGGGCGUAAAGGGUGCGUAGGCGGUCUGUUAAGUUGGAUGUGAAAACUCUGGGCUCAACCCAGAGCCUGCAUCCAAAACUGGCAGGCUAGAGUUCUGGAGGGGGUAGCGGAAUUCCUGGUGUAGCGGUGAAAUGCGUAGAUAUCAGGAGGAACACCGGUGGCGAAGGCGGCUACCUGGACAGAAACUGACACUGAGGCACGAAAGCUAGGGGAGCAAACAGGAUUAGAUACCCUGGUAGUCCUAGC